rnacentral:rRNA from 1 species
UACGUAGGGGGCAAGCGUUUGUCCGGAUUUAUUGGGCGUAAAGAGCGUGUAGGCGGCCAUACAGGUCAGCUGUGAAAACUCGAGGCUCAACCUCGAGACGUCGGUUGAAACCGUAUGGCUAGAGUCCGGAAGAGGAGAGUGGAAUUCCCGGUGUAGCGGUGAAAUGCGCAGAUAUCGGGAAGAACACCCGUGGCGAAGGCGGCUCUCUGGGACGGUACUGACGCUGAGACGUGCAA